UACAGAGGUCUCAAGCGUUGUUCGGAUUCAUUGGGCGUAAAGGGUGCGUAGGCGGCGCGGUAAGUCGGGUGUGAAAUCUCGGAGCUUAACUCCGAAACUGCAUUCGAUACUGCCGUGCUUGAGGACUGGAGAGGAGACUGGAAUUUACGGUGUAGCGGUGAAAUGCGUAGAUAUCUGGAGGAACACCGGUGGCGAAGGCGGCAUCCUGGACCAACACUGACACUGAGGGGCGAAAGCCAGGGGAGCAAACGGG
rnacentral:rRNA from 1 species